rnacentral:sRNA from 1 species
GUCGUGAGAUGUUGGGUUAAGUCCCGCAACGAGCGCAACCCUUGUCCUAUGUUGCCAGCGGAUUAUGCCGGGGACUCGUAGGAGACUGCCGGGGUCAACUCGGAGGAAGGUGGGGAUGACGUCAAGUCUUCAUGCCCCUUACGUCCAGGGCUGCAAACAUGCUACAAUGGCCGGUACAAAGGGCUGCUAUCCCGCGAGGGUGAGCGAAUCCCAAAAAGCCGGUCUCAGUUCGGAUUGGAGUCUGCAACUCGACUCCAUGAAGUCGGAGUCGCUAGUAAUCCCGGAUCAGCAACGCCGGGGUGAAUACGUUCCCGGGCCUUGUACACACCGCCCGUCACACCACGAAAGUCGGCAACACCCGAAGCCAGUGGCCCAACCCGCAAGGGAGGGAGCUGUCGAAGGUGGGGUCGGUGAUUGGGGUGAAGUCGUAACAAGGUAGCCGUACCGGAAGGUGCGGCUGGAUCACCUCCUUUCUAAGGAGUCACUCGACCUGUGAACAAUCUCUACCUACCGUUUACAGGGACUCUUUGUUGACCACUUGCUACUCGGCCUUCAGUGCAGCUGCCAGUGGGCAGGCUCGAGAUCUAGGUCUCGCCUGGACCCCCACCACACUGCUGGUCGGACCUCCUCUGUUCCGUUGUGAGGGAGCGCUGCGCCCUCGUCUGCCCACUAGGGCAGGCGGAGGCGGGGCCGUUCCCUCCGCCGCCCCGGGCCUCGGCUCGGGGAAGAGGGUGGCUCCUUGAGAACUCCAUAGCGAGCACGAGCAUCUUUGUUCUCCAAGCUAUAAAGAGCCAACGGUGAAUGCCUUGGCGCCUGAUGCCGAAGAAGGACGUAGGUGGCUGCGAUAAGCCGCGGGGAGCUGCCGACCGAGCGUCGAUCCGCGGAUGU